GAUGAAGAACGUAGCGAAAUGCGAUAAGUAAUGUGAAUUGCAGAGUUCAGUGAAUCAUCGAAUCUUUGAACGCACAUUGCGCCCGUCAGUAUUCUGACGGGCAUGCCUGUCCGAGCGUCAUUUCAACCCUCAAGCACUGCUUGGCGUUGGCGGAUUGCGUGCCCUCGCGGCGCUGCAACCGCCCAAAUACAGUGGCGGUCCCGCUGCGGCUCCCUUUGCGUAGUAACUCACCUCGCACUGGACCGGGCGGUGGCCUGCCGUAAAACCCCAACUCACGAAAUGUUGACCUCGGAUCAGGUAGGAAUACCCGCUGAACUUAAGCAUAUCAAUAAGCGGAGGA
rnacentral:misc_RNA from 1 species